AGCUUUGCGCAGUGGCAGGAUCGUAGCCAAUGGGGUUUAUACGAGGCGCUAUUAUUGCUAAUUGAAAACGUUUCCCAAUACCCCGCUGUGAGGACUUGCAGUAUAAUUGACACUGGCAAUUUUUGACAGUCUCUACGGAGA
ensembl:snRNA U4 U4 spliceosomal RNA